ACGACCACAUUACGUUAAAACACCUGUUUCCGUACGAUCACUAAAGUUAAGCAACAUCGAGCCUGGUCAGUACAUAGAUGGAUGAUCGCUUGGGAAUACCAGGUGCUGUAAG